rnacentral:rRNA from 1 species
AGAGUUUGAUCCUGGCUCAGAUUGAACGCUGGCGGCAUGCCUUACACAUGCAAGUCGAACGGCAUCACGGGAGCAAUCCUGGUGGCGAGUGGCGAACGGGUGAGUAAUGUAUCGGAACGUGCCCAGUCGUGGGGGAUAACGUAGCGAAAGCUACGCUAAUACCGCAUACGAUCUAUGGAUGAAAGCGGGGGAUCGCAAGACCUCGCGCGAUUGGAGCGGCCGAUAUCAGAUUAGGUAGUUGGUGGGGUAAAGGCUCACCAAGCCAACGAUCUGUAGCUGGUCUGAGAGGACGACCAGCCACACUGGAACUGAGACACGGUCCAGACUCCUACGGGAGGCAGCAGUGGGGAAUUUUGGACAAUGGGCGCAAGCCUGAUCCAGCAAUGCCGCGUGCAGGAUGAAGGCCUUCGGGUUGUAAACUGCUUUUGUACGGAACGAAACGGCGAGCUCUAAUACAGUUUGCUAAUGACGGUACCGUAAGAAUAAGCACCGGCUAACUACGUGCCAGCAGCCGCGGUAAUACGUAGGGUGCAAGCGUUAAUCGGAAUUACUGGGCGUAAAGCGUGCGCAGGCGGUGAUGUAAGACAGUUGUGAAAUCCCCGGGCUUAACCUGGGAACUGCAUCUGUGAUUGCAUCGCUGGAGUGCGGCAGAGGGGGAUGGAAUUCCGCGUGUAGCAGUGAAAUGCGUAGAUAUGCGGAGGAACACCGAUGGCGAAGGCAAUCCCCUGGGCCUGCACUGACGCUCAUGCACGAAAGCGUGGGGAGCAAACAGGAUUAGAUACCCUGGUAGUCCACGCCCUAAACGAUGUCAACUGGUUGUUGGGUCUUCACUGACUCAGUAACGAAGCUAACGCGUGAAGUUGACCGCCUGGGGAGUACGGCCGCAAGGUUGAAACUCAAAUGAAUUGACGG